ensembl:lncRNA
GCCACAACUCUCGUGACCACACUGCUGCUAAGAUAUCAGCAACACCCCUUCACACCGGGGGCAUCCUUCCUGCUCUGCCAUGUGUCGGCUCAGAGGGGGCAGGAAGAUGAGUGGUGCAGCCAGGAGUAGUGGGGUGUCCAUCUGUCCAGAGCUGCCAUCCAGCCUCCUACAGCACAAAUCCAUAAGCUACUGCUAUAAGUCACUAGGUGGAAGCAUCUACCUUAAUACCAGCAACAUCACUCCUCAUUAGAGAGACAACUUUAUCAAAAAUACAGAAUGGUACCAGCACAGAAGGGCUUUCUCUGACCUUCUUUCUUUACCAGUAGCUGCCAUUUCUUCCACACUGUGAUUUCUCUUCUGCCUUUCUCCACUCGGAAUAGCUGUUUGUCUUGGAGAACAGUCAGGACACCAAUUAUCUACCAGCUGGGCAGACUUGUGAGUAGUAUUGCUGUGAUGGGAAGUAUUGGUUCUUGACAGCUUAGCUCUGUCAAGUAGGUGGCCAUGGCCCACAUGUCCUUCUUUCUCUGGGAUUUAGUUUCCUGAUUCUCCAAAUCUGUUCCCAUCACUGAAGUCUGGAAAGGAGAUAUGGGGACAGUGAUGCUAUAGGAAUAAGGAGACAAAUAGAGGAGGGCCAUCCAGCUGGGUGCUGCAGUCUGACAUGUCAAAAGCUAAGACUGCAGGGUGAUGAUUUCUGGAUCUCUCCAUGCCUGCUGAAAAGGCUACUGUACUCUGACAGCUCUCAACUACUCUUUCUGCCUGGAGAAAUGAUAUCAGCCUAAUCUACUUUAGGCAACAGCAAAGGCUAAUUCAAUUGAAGCCAACUAAGCUAACCUGGUAGAUUUUGCAUGAAAGUGGAUUAGUGAAUGCUGAAACCACUGCUUUGCCAGCAGAGCUCCGUAGGUGAUCACCUCACAUCAAGGGACAGCUCAGCAGCUGGAGGUCUGCGGUGGAGAAGCACAGCUGUUAGCAGUGGUGACUGCAGUGGGUGGGCAAAGCAGCCAGAUCCUCACCCAGCUCCUCCUUCACCCAUGAGCCCUUCCUCAGACACCAGCCCUCCUCUUGGGUGAUGUGUGAAUGAGGAAGAGCUGGGUUUGCUUCUCAUACUGCAGAGUGACGUACGGGCAAUAUCUGUUUUUUUAACUCAUGAACUGGCGGUUUUGCAUUUGAAAAUCACUGACAGACGUCAAGCGUGGAACCCCACAAUGAAAUGUUUACAGUGCUGCUUCAGAGAGAGACUGCACUUGGACAUGAAGUGGAAGUAUGCUGGAAGUCUGCAGAGCAGGGCAUGCGUAAGGGUAGAGAAUUAAAGCACGAUGGAGCCAUGGGCAUUCAGCAUUUAGGGGAAAAAACAUUGUUCAUAUUGCUUAUGUUUCUUCACGACUGACGAGAUGAUCCCUUCCACUUGUGGUUUCUGGGCUAGCUUUUGUCUUGAUUUCCCUGUACUCUCGAUUUGCCAGCUCUGACUUUGUGUUAUUUUCCUCUAUAAAUAGUACUACCGAGCAGCGCAGCUCUGCGUAAUUUGUUGUGAAACGCACAAAGAAAAUGAUUUCUUUAUGUUUUUCUUAUGUUUAUUUUUCCUUGUGCUAACACGUGCGGUGCGUAUCAUGCAAAGCGAUGUGUCAUUCAGGGCAGAUUUAGCAAUUGUAUUUUAAUUUGAUGGAGAAGUGCUUAAUUUUCCUGCCACUCUUUUCCAUCCCCUUUCCUCUCAUAACAGCAGGCACCACUCUCUGUAACAUAAAUGAGUAAAG